ensembl:lincRNA
GCAAAAUGAAACAGAAAUUAUAAAAUAUGAUUGUUGCUUUAAAUCUUUUAUAAAAAAGAAAGAAGAAAUGAAUGGAUGAAUGAAGGAAAAUGGUAAAAGUCAGUGGGAUCUUUUCAAGGAAUGUCAGGAAUCAACUUUCCUGUAGGAAGAAAAUGCAGUUACAGGUGAAGCUCUGAACUGGGGAAAGUGCAGCCACUGAUAUUUUGCAAAAGGAGUAAGCAUCCAGACCUACAGGCCCCUAGAAAACAAUAAGAAAAAGAAAAUUGCCAUG